rnacentral:rRNA from 1 species
UACGGAGGAUGCAAGCGUUAUCCGGAAUGAUUGGGCGUAAAGCGCGCGCAGGCGGUCCUUUAAGUCUGAUGUGAAAGCCCACGGCUCAACCGUGGAGGGUCAUUGGAAACUGGGGGACUUGAGUGCAGAAGAGGAAAGCGGAAUUCCACGUGUAGCGGUGAAAUGCGUAGAGAUGUGGAGGAACACCAGUGGCGAAGGCGGCUUUCUGGUCUGUAACUGACGCUGAGGCGCGAAAGCGUGGGGAGCAAACAGG